UACGUAGGCAGCGAGCGUUGUUCGGAGUUACUGGGCGUAAAGAGUGCGUAGGCGGUGCUCCAAGUCUGGUGUGAAAUCUCCCGGCUUAACCGGGAGGGUGCGCCGGAAACUGGGGUGCUGGAGUGGUGGGAGAGGUAAGCGGCAAUUCCCGGUGUAGCGGUGAAAUGCGUAGGAUAUCGGGAGGAACACCUGCGGUGUAGACGGCUUACUGGACCAUAACUGACGCUGAGGCACGAAAGCGUGGGUAGCAAACAGG
rnacentral:rRNA from 1 species